rnacentral:ncRNA from 1 species
CCAAUUUCAAUGACCGGGAAGAGUACACAUGAUAGGAAGGCUGCAGCGAGCCAAUGGCAGUGAAAGAUUGGCGCCGAAUCAGCGUGUGGAAUGGGCCUGGGAGAUACAGUCCGAGCCUUUGAGAAGGGGUAGGCGCUGUCGGCUUCUUCCCCCGUUACCGGGAAGCGGGUAUCGGAUUUCAGUCCCGUACCUGGUAUGAGCCGGGCUAUUUUUAUAUAGCCAAUCAGGGUGGCACCGCGGGUUAUUCCCCCCGUCCCUGUC